rnacentral:rRNA from 1 species
UACGUAGGAGGCAAGCGUUGUUCGGAAUUACUGGGCGUAAAGCGCGCGCAGGCGGCUAUCCAAGUCAGUGGUGAAAGCCCGGAGCUUAACUCCGGAACUGCCAUUGAAACUGUUUAGCUUGAGGACGAGAGAGGUGAGUGGAAUUCCCAGUGUAGAGGUGAAAUUCGUAGAUAUUCGCAAGAACACCAGUGGCGAAGGCGGCUCACUGGCCCGGUACUGACGCUGAGGUGCGAAAGCGUGGGGAGCAAACAGG